rnacentral:rRNA from 1 species
AGAGUUUGAUCAUGGCUCAGAAUCAACGCUGGCGGCGUGCCUAACACAUGCAAGUCGAACGCGAAAGUCCCGCAAGGGAUCAGUAGAGUGGCAAACGGGUGAGUAACACGUGGGUGCCUGCCUUCGAGCGGGGGAUAACGUCCCGAAAGGGACGCUAAUACCGCAUGACAUCCUGCCUUUGAAGAGGCGGAGAUCAAAGCUGGGGAUCGCAAGACCUAGCACUUGAAGAGGGGCCCGCGUCCGAUUAGCUAGUUGGUGGGGUAACGGCUCACCAAGGCAACGAUCGGUAGCCGGCCUGAGAGGGCGGACGGCCACACUGGGACUGAGACACGGCCCAGACUCCUACGGGAGGCAGCAGUGGGGAAUUGUUCGCAAUGGGCGCAAGCCUGACGACGCAACGCCGCGUGGAGGAUGAAGAUCUUCGGGUCGUAAACUCCUUUCGAUCGAGACGAACGGCUUCCGGGUGAACAAUCCGGGAGAGUGACGGUACCGAGAGAAGAGGCCCCGGCUAACUCCGUGCCAGCAGCCGCGGUAAUACGGGGGGGGCAAGCGUUGUUCGGAAUUACUGGGCGUAAAGGGCUCGUAGGCGGCCAACUAAGUCAGACGUGAAAUCCCUCGGCUUAACCGGGGAACUGCGUCUGAUACUGGAUGGCUUGAGGUUGGGAGAGGGAUGCGGAAUUCCAGGUGUAGCGGUGAAAUGCGUAGANNNCUGGAGGAACACCGGUGGCGAAGGCGGCAUCCUGGACCAAUUCUGACGCUGAGGAGCGAAAGCCAGGGGAGCAAACGGGAUUAGAUACCCUAGUAGUCC